UAUGCGUGUGCAAGAGGCUUUAUGCGUGUGCAAGAGGUGUAAUGCGGUUGCAAGAGGCGUAAUGCGUGUGCAAGAGGCGUUAUGCGUGUGCAAGAGGCGUUAUGCGUGUGCAAUAGGCAUUAUGCGUGUGCGUGGCGGCUGCAUUACCUGUUAUUUCUAUUUUCAAUACAUGUGACAAUGAGAAGCACAAGGAAUUGAACCUCUUUUCCUAUGUAUAAAUACUAGGGAUGCACCGAUACCGAUACUUCGUUAAAAUACUCGUACUCGUACUCGUUUUGAAUUGCCGAUACCAAGCACCGAUACCACUCAUCAGUAUUUCACUGCAUCAAACUGGCCGGGCUAUGCUGACACAAAAUGUGAUUUAUUGUCCUACCUGUCCUACCACUCUCUGCCAGACUACCAUCCAGGAAAUGCCCUAUUUAGUUCUGUGUUCCGGGCUGGAACACCCUGCAAAAAUUGAAGAAAACCAGAUAUACCAGCAGAGGGGGAGAAGCAAAGGUCCAGACCUUCCCAGUGGUGCUGAAACAGAACAUGAAGAUGAAGGCCAUGAAAUGACAACAGUGAUUUUCACAGCCAAGCACCUUAAGGCACAGAAAUAGUCAUUUCGUAUUCGAUUCAGUCUUUAAUCAUUUUAUUUUUAGUUAUUUUUAGCGUGUUAUGCUAUUGAUUGUCUGAUUUGUCUGAUACUGUUGUUAUCUGAGUGACACACUUUCCUUUAAUAAAACCAUAUC
ensembl:lncRNA